rfam:Brassica oleracea var. oleracea cultivar TO1000 chromosome C9, whole genome shotgun sequence
GGAAGUUAAGAAACUGUUUAUUAACUUUUAACUAAAAAAACUAAGAACCGGUUCUUAAAUGGUUUUUAGCUUUUUUAGUUAAAAGUUAAGAAACCGUUUCUUGACUUCC